rnacentral:lncRNA from 1 species
ACUAUGAGCUGGAUCCCCCUAGGCAAAAUGGUUCUACCCGAGUUAAGCUACGUAAAACAUCCUGAGCGAAGAGUACUUCUACCCGGAACUAUGAACUGGAUCCCCCUAAGUGAAAAGGUUCUACCUGGGUUAAGCUACGAAAAUAACCUGAGCGAAGAGUACUUCUAUCCGGAACUAUGAGCUGGAUCCCUCUAGGUGAAAUGGUUCUACCUGAGUUAAGCUACGUAAAACAUCCUGAGCAAAAAGUACUUCUACCCGGAAAUAUGAGCUGGAUCCCCCUAGGCAAAAUGGUUCUACCCGAGUUAAGCUACGUAAAACAUCCUGAGCGAAGAGUACUUCUACCCGGAACUAUGAACUGGAUCCCCCUACAUGAAAAGGUUCAACCUGGGUUAAGCUACGAAAAUAACCUGAGCGAAGAGUACUUCUACCCGGAACUAUGAGCUGGAUCCCUCUAGGCGAAAUGGUUCUACCUGAGUUAAGCUACGUAAAACAUCCUGAGCGAAAAGUACUUCUACCCGAAACU